CAGUUAAAAUUGUGGUACUUGACGACUGGGUUGGUGCGCCGUGUUACCGCACUUAGGCAAAAUUAACGGGGAGAUUUGGAUGGCGAAACUCUGCGUGGGUUAGCUGCUGUGAUUUCAGGCAUCAUGCUGCUGACAAGGGAAGAAUUUAGCGAUUUUCACGAGUUGCCUGGCAAGUGCAAACCAGGCAUGAAGGUUUUCCUUUACAUAUUCAUACCAAUUUGUAUAUAUUUCGUGUUGGGCUGUUUGAAAGACACCUCAGAGUAUUCGGCAGGUUGGAUAUUUGCCCUCAAAGGCAUAGCUUUGGCGUGUCGAUUCUUCUUGCUCAUGAUGGCCUUUCUGGUGGUACGAAGAACGUACAUUAUCGCGAGGAGACCACGAAUACAGAACAAUCGUCUAAUGAACUUCUACGCCGUAAAUGGACCAAUUGUGGCACGUUUCGAAGACUAGGCUUUGGUUGGUGUUAACAUUGUGGAGGCUGAAGCUUGAAGACUUAGUCGAUCUUCUCGGGAAUGUUUAUGCCUUUAUGGUUUGAUUUCCUGCCGUAUUUUAGUACUUGACGAAUAUAGCUGGCAGAGGACCAGCUUUCGAUUCGAACAUUUGGUUGCCGGAGAGCACACUAUUGAAAUUUUUAUUGAAAGAAUGAAAUAUAGAUUUUAAUGUCCUGCCUAAAUCAAUUUCCUUGACCUGACGUCAGCUUCCAGACGUCAAUUCUGCCAGAGUUGAUUCAAGAGUUAUUUGCUGAAGUCAUGAUCGAGAUGACUAGUGUGAACUAGCUCUAUUGAUGUCACACGGCCAGUCUACUUUCUGCGCCAGCCAGUUACAAUUAAACCGAAGUUUAUUUGCCUAUGAAUUAGGCUGCUGUGAACGAUGUGUACCAACAAAUCAUGCUAACUUUUAGCGGUGUAACCCUUCCAUACCUACAGAUUAGAACUGCCAUUUUCUUCCACGAGAUAUGUAAAAUUGAAACUUUUAUAGUGUAGCAUAGGGACUGUAUCCUGUAUCAAGCCCCCUAUUUUUUGCCGAGUGAUCGAAGCCAUAGCGUGAGUAUUAGGGUCAGUACUAUAUGUUGAUAAUUGACAAUUCUCUUGUCGAUUUCAACAUGCCAAAGAUGAUGGAUUCGAAGAAUAAUGAUACAGGAGGUCGUGAAGGAAUAUGUUCUUGUACAAAAUAAUAAAGUUUAUUAUUGUUGGGGUUUUGAAACUGUGUGAAGAACUAUCCGAUUUAAAAACGGCUACAUAUCCAUGACGAAGCAUGUGGAGAGCAACGGUCUUGAAUUUAUACCGUAGUUGACAUUAGUAGAGGCAUAUCGUCGUAUUGAAGCAGGAGGAUACCGGUAGAUGUAUAGAGCCUUCUUUGGUCCGAGCACUUCUCCAAACGCCAUCGUGAGAUAUUUUAAUCUUGUGCUAAAUGAAUCUCCUGGGCUCUCUUUGAAACCUAAUCAUUACGUUGUUGGCUAAAUGGUUGCAACAAUGAACGAUAAAAUAUUACCGUUGUCGAAUAGCUUCCACUAUAAAAUAGUUAGACAUGUGCGAUUCUUGGGGGUAAUCGACGUUUUCGCCGUCCGAUUUACGCAGUUGAUUUCAAUGAGCUAUGCGAUCGAUCAAUGUAUUGGUAAAUUACUCGGUGAAUAUAUAGUUGAGCACAGACAAACUUAAAGUACAGUGGCCGAGCUCCUUGACAGCGAUCGGGCAGAGAGGGGCCUCUUAAAUCAGAAGUCUUCAACCCAGGCGAAGAUAAAGAGUGACCGCGCCAAUUGGAACUACAGACGUCCAGAUGGAAAUAAUCACAAUGGGCUCCGAUUCAAAUAAUUUUUAUGAUACUGCAGGACAAAACUUAUCGAAGGCAAUGAAAAUAAUACCAAUCUCUUGCUGCUGUGUCCUUGGGCUCGUUUAUAUUGUCGCAGAUUUGUCUGAGGGAGAUAAGAAAGGCGUGUUGGUGGUCCUCAUGUGCUUCGCCAUUGUCGUGUUGGUGCAAGUCUACCUCUACUUGCCUAAUAAAUACCUGCAAUUCAUGAAUCGACAUUCGGAAGUAGUUUUUGAAUGAUUGCUGCUACUAUAUAUUCAAACCUUAUAAUAAUUAUUGUUAGACUG